GGACUACCGGGGUUUCUAAUCCUGUUUGCUCCCCACGCUUUCGCGCCUCAGCGUCAAUACCAGUCCAGUUGGCCGCCUUCGCCACCGGUGUUCUUCCCAAUCUCUACGAAUUUCACCUCUACACUGGGAAUUCCACCAACCUCUCCUGGAUUCAAGCGCUCCAGUAUCAAGCGCAAUUCCCGGGUUGAGCCCAGGGCUUUCACGCCUGACUUAGAGCACCGCCUACGCGCCCUUUACGCCCAGUAAUUCCGAACAACGCUUGCCCCCUUCGUAUUACCGCGGCUGCUGGCAC
rnacentral:rRNA from 1 species